rnacentral:rRNA from 1 species
CCUACGGGCGGCAGCAGUCGAGUAUCAUUCACAAUGGGGGAAACCCUGAUGGUGCGACGCCGCGUGGGGGAAUGAAGGUCUUCGGAUUGUAAACCCCUGUCAUGUGGGAGCAAAUUAAAAAGAUAGUACCACAAGAGGAAGAGACGGUUAACUCUGUUCCAGCAGCCGCGGUAAUACAGAGGUCUCAAGCGUUGUUCGGAAUCACUGGGCGUAAAGCGUGCGUAGGCUGUUUCGUAAGUCGUGUGUGAAAGGCGCGGGCUCAACCCGCGGACGGCAGAUGAUACUGCGAGACUAGAGUAAGGGAGGGGGAGGCGGAAUGCUCGGUGUAGCAGUGAAAUGCGUAGAUAUCGAGAGGAACACUCGUGGCGAAGGCGGGUUCCUGGACAUUAACUGACGCUGAGGCACGAAGGCCAGGGGAGCGAAAGGGAUUAGAUACCCCAGUAGUC